rnacentral:lncRNA from 1 species
ACUUAUGCUAUGAGCUCCAAAUGAAAAUGGUUUCUUCAAAAAAGUUGUAGCCAUUUCAUCCCUAUUCAAUUAGGUCAUAAAUUCCACAUCAUUUGGAUUUGGAAUAAGGGAGUUAUGCAUUUUAGAAGCUGAGGAAAAUUGCUUGUUCAAUGAUGAUGGUCCAAAAUGACCUAUAAUGUUUCCUCUUGUCACACGCCCCUGCAAGUUGAAUUUGACAUUUCUCAAAGAAUAAAAGUUGGAGAAGACAUCUUGAAACAUGAAACUUGGAUGGCCUUCAUCUCAUAAAAAU